rnacentral:sRNA from 1 species
GUCGCAGGUUCGAAUCCUGCACGACCCACCAAUUUAACAUCAAACUCAGAUGUUAAGCGUGAAGGAUAACGUUGCGUAAGCAACGGCCCGCAGGGCGAGCGAAGCGAGUCAUCCUGCACGACCCACCA